rnacentral:rRNA from 1 species
UUGCCAGACUCCUACGGGAGGCAGCAGUGAGGAAUAUUGGUCAAUGGGCUUACGCCUGAACCAGCCAAGUCGCGUGAGGGAAGACUGCCCUAUGGGUUGUAAACCUCUUUUGUCAGGGAGCAAUUGGCGCUACGUGUAGCGUUAUCGAGAGUACCUGAAGAAAAAGCAUCGGCUAACUCCGUGCCAGCAGCCGCGGUAAUACGGAGGAUGCGAGCGUUAUCCGGAUUUAUUGGGUUUAAAGGGUGCGCAGGCGGUCUGUUAAGUCAGCGGUCAAAGCCCGGGGCUCAACCCCGUACUGCCGUUGAAACUGCAUCCCUUGAGUGCGCGAGAAGUAUGCGGAAUGCGUGGUGUAGCGGUGAAAUGCAUAGAUAUCGCGCAGAACUCCGAUUGCGAAGGCAGCAUACCGGCGCCCAACUGACGCUCAGGCACGAAAGCGUGGGUAUCGAACAGGAUUAGAUACCCUUGUA